GUACUGCUGAAGAGUCCCAAACUAGGACGAAACUGCUGUCCAGUAC
rfam:Trichobilharzia regenti genome assembly, scaffold: TRE_scaffold0059528